rnacentral:rRNA from 1 species
UUCGUUUGUCAGAUUCAGUUGCAUGCACGCAGCAACGUGCGCGCUCUUGAUCCGCAUGGACAAGGUGUGUACGGGUGCAACGUGCAGGCGGCGCACUUUUGGCAAGCGAGCGUCAGCAUUGGUUGUUGUUGAGCGAUAAGGUUGCAA